AAGCUUGAUAUAGAAGACUAUCAUAUGAACCAGAGAGGGUAACUGAAACCAAAGAAAUGACUCCAGUAUCAAGCUAAAGACACGCCUUAAAGGAUGAGGAGGAGCAGAAAUAUUACCAGCAAGGCAAGAAAGAAGCCGUACGUGGACAGCCUCUGCUUUAGGCCCAGAAGGAAAAGAAGCUUACAGGAGACAAUCAGUCUUACACUCUUCAUGGUCACAAACAAGAGGUCCCUGGAUCUACAGGGGACUUGGUGCUGUCAGAGGAGGUCAUCAUAUUGGACAACAAGUUUUUUAAAAAGUAGAAGUCAUCAAGUUGAAGAAUUCAGUGACUUUUCCAGGGGAAGAAGUACCUGAUUUAUGAACAGUCAUUAUCCUGAACUGUUUUGUAGAAAUGAUGUAACCGAUUGAUUUUUAAUAAGCAUUCCAAGUGUUACACAGCAAGUUUUGAUGCUUCCAACUGGCCAAUAAGAAAUGAAAGAACCAGAGCAUUACAGCAGAAUGAAUCCUGGAAUGGGAAUUGUGGCACAGUUGGGAAGCGUCCUGGCCAUGCCAUGUUAAAGUUGCCUCCAAGGCAGUGAUUCUUACGCUUGGCUACACAUUGGAAUCAUUUGGGAAGCUGGAAAAAAAAUAAUAAUAAUGCCCAGGACCUGGGCAAGACGGCUGAAUAAGAACAGCUCUGGUCUGCAGCUCCCAGCA